AACGAACGCUGGCGGCAUGCCUAACACAUGCAAGUCGAACGAGACCUUCGGGUCUAGUUGCGCACGGGUGCGUCACGCGUGGGAACCUGCCGUUAGGUUCGGAAUAACUCCCCGUCAGGGGGGCUAAUACCGGGUAAUGUCUUCGGACCACAGAUUUAUCGCCUUGGGGUAAGCCCGGGUUGGUUUGGCUAGUAGGCAGGGUAAAAGCCUACCAAGGCGACGAUCCAUAGCUGGUCUAAGAGGGUGGAAAGCCACACUGUGACUGAGGAACGGCAGAGACUCCUGCACGAGGCAGCGGUGGAGAAUAUUACGCGAGGCAGGAAAGCGGGAUCCAGGAAUACCGGGUGGGGGAAGAUGGCGUUCGGCUGCGUGAGCGAUGUUGUUCGGAAAGAAGAACAGCACGUUUACACCCCGUGGUAAUGACGGUACCCGAAGAAUAAGCUCCGGCUAACUCCGUG
rnacentral:rRNA from 1 species